AUUGAAAAAAGAAAACAUGAGAUACAGUAAAGAAAAAGUAGCUGCAUAACUGGCUGGGUGUAUUUAAUACAUUAAAAAAUGGAUAAGUCUUAUUCUGUCAGUCCUGUUUCAGAGAUCUGAAAAUUGUCAAUGCUUUGUCCAUUGAUGUGGAUAUCCAGGGAGACCAAAUUUUGAGGAAGGUGGACCAACAUCAGUAGGGAGAAAGCAUGAAUUUAUACGCUCAGAAAGUGAAAAUUGGCGCAUCUUUAGAGAGGAACAAAAUGGAGAAGAUGAAGAUGGAGGUUGGCGACUAGCUGGAUCAAGGAGGGAUGGAGAGAGGUGGCGACCUCACAGUCCUGAUGGCCCUCGUUCUGCAGGCUGGCGGGAACACAUGGAACGACGUCGGAGGUUUGAGUUUGAUUUUCGAGAUAGAGAUGAUGAACGGGGUUACCGAAGGGUUCGCUCUGGCAGUGGGAGCAUAGAUGAUGACAGGGAUAGCUUGCCCGAAUGGUGCUUAGAGGAUGCUGAAGAAGAAAUGGGUACAUUUGACUCAUCUGGAGCAUUCCUUUCUCUAAAA
rnacentral:lncRNA from 1 species